rnacentral:rRNA from 1 species
CCCCUAGAUGUUCUGGGCCGCACGCGCGCUACACUGACGAAUGCAACGAGCUUAUAACCUUGGCCGAAAGGUCUGGGUAAUCUCCAAAUUUCGUCGUGAUGGGGAUAGAUUAUUGCAAUUAUUAAUCUUCAACGAGGAAUGCCUAGUAAGCGCAAGUCAUCAGCUUGCGUUGAUUACGUCCCUGCCCUUUGUACACACCGCCCGUCGCACCUACCGAUUGAAUGGUCCGGUGAAGCCUCCGGAUUGGCGCGCACCUCGGUGCCGCCGAGAAGUUGGCUAAACCUUACCAUUUAGAGGAAGGUGAAGUCGUANCA